GGCCCUGCCGACCAGAGGCCACGGCCGACAUAUACAGCGACGGAAGGGCAGCAGCCGAGGCAGGAAGCGGCGUUGGAGAUGGAGGAUCGCCUCCGCAUCUUGGUUUCGUCGGGAUUUGCCGGCCGGCCGGAGGCCUCGGCUUGCAGGAUGACAACGAGAUCGACGAGGAAGGGAGAGGUGGCGGGACGUGAAUCGGUGCGAGGUCGAGAGGGCAGGAGACCAUGGCGGCUAGGGUUUCCACACUUGCCCUGCACCGACGUUGAUGGUGAACCUGUAAAUGGUUGUCCCCUAAUAGGUGAGUUUGGAGGCGACGGCGGCCCGUGUUGCGCUGGAGAUGGAGGAUCCCCUCCACAACUUAGUUUUAUUUAUCCACGUCAAGCUCACCCGUAAAGGAGAGAGGAGGUGGAGCAGCGUAGGGAGGAAGAGGUGAACCGGAAGAUCAUUUGUGGAUUGAUGUUCUGAAUUUGUGUAAUGGUUCUUUUUUUAUCUGGCGUACAAGGACGUGUGGCUCAUGGCGACACUGGAUCCAGUGGUCAGCAUGGUUAUCGCCGUCAGCGGUUCUCCUUGUCUUCAGGAGCACUUUCGAAAGGUCUUCAGAUGUUAGGCCUAUCAAGAAUAAUAUCUCAAUUAUCAAAGACCUUUGAGAACUAAGACUUCAUCUAUAAUAGGAUCUCAAUAAUUGACCAUGGUUUGGCUUUUGGCUGGUAACAACGUCAGUGAGGUAGAUGUCCUUCACCCCUUUCUAAAGCUAAAGGUUCCAGACUUGUGCCACAACAAUCUCUGGGAUGAGGAGGAUGUAAAGAGGGAGAUGAAGCGGUAAGAUGAUAUCAUGAGAGAGAAAGAAGGAGAGACCUCCAGCGACACUAACGCGUGCAGGUGUUUCAGUAGCCGCCUUCGCUCCACCUCUAGGAGCCAAGUCUCCACUUCCGCACCACACCCUUAUUUUUAAAUAGCUUUCAAAAUAAACCAUGGCGAAAAGUGGAAUAUUUCUCCUCCAUCUAGCUGUUUGCGAUUUUGCAAUUAAGGCAUGAAGCACAAAUAAACUUGAGCAAAGAAACGCGUGCUACCAACUGAUCAAUGGCUUUGCCAACGCGGCGAUAAGAUGCACGAGCAAUUGCCUCUGGGUUUGUUGUGUGUUUGGUCUGACCUACUGAAGCAAUUAUCUGUUUUCUCUAAUUUCAACUAUUUCCUCUCGUGUGGUAGUUUCUGUCUACGAGAGAAUUUGCUACCCUGCCGGUUAUUCAAACGUGUUGCAUGAGGUAAUAUUUUGAAUGUAUGUGCUUGUAAGGUAUCCAUCCUCCUAUUUAGUUCUCUAAUUGUUGGCAUACGACCUGUCUUUCUUUACAUCAUAAAGUUUUUUAAACUUCCAUUUGGUUAUGAGGCUUUAUGUGCUAACUUGGUUAAUUUUGUUAUGGUGCAGCAGCUACUCUCAGUGCAUGUUGCCAUCAUUAAAAACGUGGCCGGCUGGGCAUUUAAAACAUGUGUGAGCAAAUUAUCCCUAGAAUGAAUGCACCAAGGGAGCAAUGCAGAGGCAUGUAGCAACCUGAUAAUGGAGAAAUGUAAAAAAUUCAGUAGACAUGAGUUCACAACAUUAUUUUCGUCAGGAGGUAUGAUAUUCACAGCAGCCUAUGAGGCAUUAUUACAUAUUUUCAGAGAUGAUCUACGGAAUGCCAUCUUUAAUAAUUCAUUACGUUGUUAGGUCACAAUGUUAGUAGCUGUGCUUGAAUAGAUAUUGCCUACUGUAUGCUUAAUAUCAUAUUGGUGUCAACAAUUGGUUUAAUCAUUAUAUAGCUCCAAGUUAAUUAUACAAUUAAAUGGAUGGAAAUGAUGAUACUAUAAUUGCUUUGAAAUUCGCCCCUAUUCCCCAGUAUAAUUCUCAUUAUACCAUAAUCAAAUAUAUGUUUGGGGGUUCCUUCUGUAGGACAUAAGAAUUGGGUUUUGGUUAAUGGGAUUAUGUAGCAGCAAUGCGAUUUUCACCUAUAAACUUUUAGAUGGAACCGUUAGGCGUGAAAGGGAUAAAGAAAUAAUAAUUUUAAUGUCAAAAUAUACACUCUACAAUAUGAAACUAUUUCCUUCUCUACAAAAGAAAUUGAGGACGGAAAGGAUUGGCUUUCCUGGUUAUUUAAACUCGAAGAGCAGAUUGUUCAUACUAUAUCUAUAGUAAGCAUGGGAAGUCUUAGCAGCUGUGAGAAACAUCAUUUGCGUUUUUGCUAUCACCGCUGUCUUUGGUUGUGAAAAGUGGUUCAGUCUAUUUAUCUUACAUCUACAAAGACAUAAAAAACAUGAGAUGAGUGAAACUGAAAUUUGGUAGUAAAUCGAACUGUAAUUCAUGGAUAACUAGAUUUUGUUGCGUCAUGUUAGGUCGUAGGAUAAGAUCCUUUUAAACCAUUUCACUUCCGAACUAAAAACGUUGAAUAUGUGUUGAAUGGAUCAUGUUUUCUUCGCAUUUGUUAUUGAUUGUGCAUGCCGUUUAAUUUGAAUCCUAUCUGAUGUGUGUAGACAUGGACUGUUUUCAAUGGCUUCUCAGUUCUAAAAUCAGGUCCACUCUUGAUGUAUUGUUAUGAUAUUUCUGUUGUGUUGUAAACAUUUUGAGUAA